GGAGAGAUGCCCGAGAGGCCGAAGGGGCACGACUGGAAAUCGUGUGUGCGUUUAAAAAGCGCACCGUGGGUUCGAAUCCCACUCUCUCCG
rnacentral:tRNA from 1 species